UACGGGGGGGGCAAGCGUUGUUCGGAAUUACUGGGCGUAAAGGGCUCGUAGGCGGCCAACUAAGUCAGACGUGAAAUCCCUCGGCUUAACCGGGGAACUGCAUCUGAUACUGGAUGGCUUGAGUUCGGGAGAGGGAUGUGGAAUUCCAGGUGUAGCGGUGAAAUGCGUAGAUAUCUGGAGGAACACCGGUGGCGAAGGCGGCAUCCUGGACCGACACUGACGCUGAGGAGCGAAAAGCCAGGGGAGCAAAGCGGGG
rnacentral:rRNA from 1 species